ensembl:snRNA U6 U6 spliceosomal RNA
GUGCUUACUUUAGCAGCACGUAUAUGAAAAUUGGAAUGUCACAGAAAAUAUAAGAAUAGCCCUUGAGCAAGGAUGGCAUUUGUGAAGCAUUCCAUAUUUUU